CAGGCCUAACACAUGCAAGUCGAACGGUAACAGGAAGCAGCUUGCUGCUUCGCUGACGAGUGGCGGACGGGUGAGUAAUGUCUGGGAAACUGCCCGAUGGAGGGGGAUAACUACUGGAAACGGUAGCUAAUACCGCAUAACGUCGCAAGACCAAAGAGGGGGACCUUCGGGCCUCUUGCCAUCGGAUGUGCCCAGAUGGGAUUAGCUUGUUGGUGAGGUAACGGCUCACCAAGGCGACGAUCCCUAGCUGGUCUGAGAGGAUGACCAGCCACACUGGAACUGAGACACGGUCCAGACUCCUACGGGAGGCAGCAGUGGGGGAAUAUUGCACAAUGGGCGCAAGCCUGAUGCAGCCAUGCCGCGUGUAUGAAGAAGGCCUUCGGGUUGUAAAGUACUUU
rnacentral:rRNA from 1 species